UUAGUCUUGAACUUGGUCUUCGUAUAUAUAGCAUAAUAGCACGCUCCUCUUACUUCACAAAUGCUCAGACGCUCCUUGAGAAUCAUAAAGUGUGAUCUGAUACUUUUUCAAUCUUCAUUAAGGAUAUAUCAAGACUUUCCAAAAGUGUUUAAAGGACUUUAUAUGAUAGGAUAAGUCAUCCAGCUAUUCCAUUAAGUUUGUCUUAUCCUUAAAACUCCUGAUCAGAUCAAAUCUUCAAUAUGCAUGCUCUUAAGUGGAUUUCCAUAUAUAGCAGAUGCUUUCAUAAAUGCGCGAGAUUUCCUUCAGCAAAAAGGAUGUUGUAACAUGUUUUCCAACAUCUUGUUAGCAUAUUUGUUUUAGCAAAAUUAAGCCAAUUUCAAAUAUCCAACAGU
rnacentral:lncRNA from 1 species